UCGAGCGAGCUUGCCUAUAGAAGUUCUUCGGAAUGGACAUAGAUACAAGCUAGCGGCGGAUGGGUGAGUAACGCGUGGGUAACCUGCCCUUAAGUCUGGGAUACCAUUUGGAAACAGAUGCUAAUACCGGAUAAAAGCUACUUUCGCAUGAAAGAAGUUUAAAAGGCGGCGUAAGCUGUCGCUAAAGGAUGGACCUGCGAUGCAUUAGCUAGUUGGUAAGGUAACGGCUUACCAAGGCGAUGAUGCAUAGCCGAGUUGAGAGACUGAUCGGCCACAUUGGGACUGAGACACGGCCCAAACUCCUACGGGAGGCAGCAGUAGGGAAUCUUCCACAAUGGACGAAAGUCUGAUGGAGCAACGCCGCGUGAGUGAAGAAGGUUUUCGGAUCGUAAAGCUCUGUUGUUGGUGAAGAAGGAUAGAGGUAGUAACUGGCCUUUAUUUGACGGUAAUCAACCAGAAAGUCACGGCUAACUACGUGCCAGCAGCC
rnacentral:rRNA from 1 species